ACACAUGCAGUCGAGCGGAUGACAGGAGCUUGCUCCUGAAUUCAGCGGCGGACGGGUGAGUAAUGCCUAGGAAUCUGCCUGGUAGUGGGGGACAACGUUUCGAAAGGAACGCUAAUACCGCAUACGUCCUACGGGAGAAAGCAGGGGACCUUCGGGCCUUGCGCUAUCAGAUGAGCCUAGGUCGGAUUAGCUAGUUGGCGAGGUAAUGGCUCACCAAGGCGACGAUCCGUAACUGGUCUGAGAGGAUGAUCAGUCACACUGGAACUGAGACACGGUCCAGACUCCUACGGGAGGCAGCAGUGGGGAAUAUUGGACAAUGGGCGAAAGCCAGAUCCAGCCAUGCCGCGUGUGUGAAGAAGGUCUUCGGAUUGUAAAGCACUUUAAGUUGGGAGGAAGGGCAUUAACCUAAUACGUUAGUGUUUUGACGUUACCGACAGAAUAAGCACCGGCUAACUCUGUGCCAGCAGCCGCGGUAAUACAGAGGGUGCAAGCGUUAAUCGGAAUUACUGGGCGUAAAGCGCGCGUAGGUGGUUUGUUAAGUUGGAUGUGAAAUCCCCGGGCUCAACCUGGGAACUGCAUUCAAAACUGACAAACUAGAGUAUGGUAGAGGGUGGGUGGAAUUUCCUGUGUAGCGGUGAAAUGCGUAGAUAUAGGAAGGAACACCAGUGGCGAAAGCGACCACCUGGACUGAUACUGACACUGAUGUGCGAAAGCGUGGGGAGCAAACAGGA
rnacentral:rRNA from 1 species